UGAUUUCGACUUGGAGUCUCCUCCAGUUAAGAUUGUUCUCAUCAAACCCAAGUCCAUUCACAAAGACAAGGUGAAGGUAUCACACAAAGAGAGUCACCCUGGCGACGAAAAGAUGCCCACGAAAUCUCAAAUACCUGUUUUGGUGGGCAAACAAAAAACACAAAGGCAAGAAAAUACAGACCU